GCCUGGGGUUCUGAUGUGGCGGUGGGCAACGUGAGGGCAGCCAGCACCUGUGAGGUUGGUGGUGCUGACGUUGGCUCUGCGAGGUCGGCUCAAGGU
ensembl:miRNA